rnacentral:rRNA from 1 species
UGGGGAAUUUUGGACAAUGGGCGCAAGCCUGAUCCAGCCAUGCCGCGUGCAGGAUGAAGGCCUUCGGGUUGUAAACUGCUUUUGUACGGAACGAAACGGCCUUUUCUAAUAAAGAGGGCUAUGACGGUACCGUAAGAAUAAGCACCGGCUAACUACGUGCCAG